UUCAGUGACAAUGGAACUAAUUUUCGUGGAGCAAGUAACGAACUGAAAGAGGAAUUAGGUGUGAUAAAUCAAAAUCUAGCAGCUUCGUUCACAAACGCCACAACAGAAUGGCGGUUCAAUCCACCAUUUGCGCCGCAUAUGGGAGGGUGCUGGGAAAGGCUCGUGCGCUCAGUGAAAUCAGCUUUAGCGGCUUUACAGAUGGAUAGGAACCCAGAUGAUGAAACUUUGUGGACUGUAGUUACUGAGGCUGAAGCCAUUGUUAAUUCCCGUCCUCUUACGUACGUUCCGUUGGAUACGGAAGACCAAGAAGCGCUAACACCAAAUCACUUCUUGAUGCUGAGUUCGAGUGGGGUUUGUCAACCUCAGAAAGAGUUGGUGGACGAUAGAAGACAGAUAAGAAGUAACUGGCGGCUGAUUCAAAAUCUUUUAAGCCAGUUUUGGAUUAGAUGGGUGAAGGAAUAUCUGCCGACGAUAACGAGACGGACGAAAUGGUUCAAGGAGACCAAACCAGUACAAAAUGGAGACGUAGUGGUGGUGGUUGACGAAGGUUCUAGGAAUGGAUGGAUACGCGGUCGAGUGGUAAGAACGUUACCAGGCAAGGAUGGCAGAGUACGGCAAGCUGAUGUUGAAACGAAUGCUGGAGUUAUCCGUAGACCUGUUGCAAAGAUAGCGAUCCUGGAUGUAGUUGAAGGUAAAGUCUGAAAGGCAUUACGGGUCGGGGAAUGUUCGCUCCGUGUUUGGUCACUACAAUCUUUUUGGCAACACGACGUUACGAGAUACGAGAAUGACAGUUGUCAACGUCAACGUUGGAGAUGAUGAAGAGGAGAAAUGUGAUGACUCAUGGAGAAAGUAAUUUUGGAAUGCUAGGUGGGAAAUUGUCGAAGAAGUUAAAAUUGAAAUUAUUGUCGGAAUAUUGUGCGGAUUAAAGUAGGAGAUUUUUUGAUUGCUGAUAAGUAUAUAUCGCUGAGGUGUGAUAAAGACCCUUGUUGAGCGACGUACCGUUACGCAGUGGCUCAUAAUUAUAGGGUAAAGGAGGAUUCAUUCAUUAACUAUUGGGUACGUUCGGAUUGGCCAAAGAGAUAUCAGUAUUUUUUUGAGCUGUCUACACCAAGAUUGCUACAGAAAUUGAUUUCCACUAGUCCGAACACCAGGCAUUAUUUCUGAAUGAGGAACGUCUACAAAUUACGUUAAGGGUGGGUGUUCGUGAUAAUCUAUAAACAAAUUUCAGAGGAGAACCAUUACAAAACGUGUGCCAGGGAGGAAAUGGAGGGUUAUAGAACGUUGAAAAUGGACAUCUUUUGCGUGACCUAAUUUAUGGAAUUUCCAAAGAAUUGAUCUUCACCUUAAGGUGAAGAUAUGAUGGAACUAAAGGCAUCCCAAAAAAAUCUGAAGGAAUAUUAUGAUUUUUUUUAUGGAAUCCCUUGGGAAUUUCAUGAAGAAUUCUAAACUCUGGACUUUCUAAAAAUAAAACGCUGGAAUCCGUGAAUAAUUCUCUAAAAUAAUAACCCGGAAGAAUUUCUGAAAUAAUCCAUAAAUAAAUUUCUUAAGCAUGGAAGGUUUUCUAGAAGAUUUCUUGGUGAAAUUUCUGGAGGUUCCCUCAAUUUCUGGAGGAAUUUCUGAAAAAAAAUCAUGGAAUAUAUUUCUUCAAGAAUGUCAUUCGUAAGUUGCCAUGAAAAUAUUUUAAUGAGAUAUGCCGAUACAGUAGACGUUAGAUAACUGCAACAUGUUAACGUUUCACUUAGCGAACGAAAUUCGGUAACUGUAACGACUAACAGAUGUCAACAAGUUGUUAAACGACAAAAAAUAACCGUGAACGUUAUCCGACUGAUAACUUGGGCUAACAUGGUGCACCAUUUUGACGUUUGGCGGUGCGAUAACUGCAAAUUUGUUGCACUUACCGGACUUGCAGUUAAAAAGUUUUGCAGUUAAACCGUUUGCACCGACCGAACGUCUACUGUAAUAUGUAAGAGAAUGUGUUUGUGGACCUCAUGAAAAUGCUUCCAAAAAGGUUGCUGAUUAUCCAUUAUGGUUUACAAAAAAGAAGUGCUUAUAAAAUAAGCGAGGAACUUCAAAGUAAUGCAGUAAGAAAUCAUUAGUAGAAUUCAUACACAAUAUAGCAGAAGAUCGAAUAUUGAGCUCAAAAAUAUGCCUAAUAUGCACGAUGAAAAAGUACAAAUUCUUUAAAAAAUACCACUUUUAUUGCUAUCAGGUUUAAAAAGAUGGUUCUUGAAAUGCUGGCGAAAAAAACCUUUGUCGUUUUCUCAUCGGCGUGGGAAAUUUCGAUCGGCGGUGUGGAAAAAUAUGAACAGCGGCACGCCGGGUCAACUUGAUUGGCGGCGGCGGCGUGAAAAAAUCGUCGGCGACGGCGGCGCGGCGCGGCGGCGCACACGUCUUUCAAAGUGUAUUGGAGGCCAUUUGUAUUUCACGGAAUGUCCAGCUACCACAAUAUCAAGUUGCUCAUAGAAUUAUGAGGUAUAAUGGACAUCAACGUGACUAAAUUUCUUGAACAUAGUGAACACAAACUAUGGUAGAUGUUUCAGAUCUUAAGAAAAUGAAUUCCAGAGUAGUUUGGAUGGAUGACCUAGAUCACCCAAUUCAAGUACCAUUAAUUUUCUAGGGGUGCUUAGAGGCUUUUUGAGUACCGUAGACAAUGUUCUGUAAUCAUUCAUCGUGUAUAAAAUUUGGUUGAGAAUGUUUGAUUUGUGUCACAAACUUCGGAGUACUUUGGAGGCCUUAGAAUAGCUCUGGGGUCAAAACUUCAACAGACUAUGAUGGGUAGUAAUACAUUGCAUGUCUAGGGUCAGUGAAAACUUUUGAUGAUUAGCAAAACGAUGAAAUUUGAGCAAAAACAUGUAGAAUUUAUAAAAAUGAAAAAAAAAGCCACGUAUUUUCGCCUCCCCGCAAAAGGGGGGAGGGUGCAAAGGGGGGAGGUACCAUGCAUUUCUUAGCACAACUAUUCCCCUUGACUAUAAAAAAAAUCCGGGGUAAAAUGUUUUAAAACAAAGAAGAUGUUGCAUUUCUGCCAAAAUUAGAUCGUCCCAGGUGUUUACGGGUUAAUAAAAGUACUUCUAUUACAACCUUAUACGGAUAAAUACGUUUGAUAGUAUUUUAUUUAACCUAUGUGCUGUGAAAUUUUGACACGAUUUGAAUCAGCUUUCACAUAGUUAUUCAGAUAUUUCGAAAUCGCCUAAAAGAUUUCUGAAGGACUGAAAACAAACCAUCAGCCGUAAAAAAAUGCUGUAAUGUAUAGUUUAUUGCAUUGAUAACUGGACUGCGACAGAGUGCGAAAUCUUAAAUAAAAGUGCGAUAUUGCAUCAAAUCGUUCCGGUGUCUUCACCGCACUUAUUCAUCAUGAGCUAAUGAAUAAGUGCGACGAAGACACCGAAAUGAUGUGACACCAAAUCGCACUUUUAUUUGAGAUUCCGCACUUCCUCGUCGCACUUUAUACUGCGCAAUGCGCAAUACUAUCGAAAUCACUUGUAGGCUACAAGUAGGGUACAAGUUGUAGCCAAAACAUAGUCGUUUGUCCAGGAGUAGUUUUGGAAAACAAUAUGCUAGAAGAAAACUGUUUUUGAUUUCGAGAAAAUAUGAGGGGGGCAAAGUCUCCACAGGGAUCGAGUCUCCUCAGUCUCCCCUACAGAGAACAGA